rnacentral:rRNA from 1 species
GGGCUUUAACUGACGCUGAGGCACGAAAGCGUGGGUAGCAAACAGGAUUAGAUACCCUGGUAGUCCACGCUGUAAACGAUGAUUACUAGGUGUGGGGGGUCUGACCCCUUCCGUGCCGCAGUUAACACAAUAAGUAAUCCACCUGGGGAGUACGGCCGCAAGGUUGAAACUCAAAGGAAUUGACGGGGGCCCGCACAAGCAGUGGAGUAUGUGGUUUAAUUCGAAGCAACGCGAAGAACCUUACCAGGUCUUGACAUCCUAAGGAUCCUGUAGAGAUACGGGAGUGCCCUUCGGGGAAUUUAGAGACAGGUGGUGCAUGGUUGUCGUCAGCUCGUGUCGUGAGAUGUUGGGUUAAGUCCCGCAACGAGCGCAACCCUUACUGUUAGUUGCUACGCAAGAGCACUCUAGCAGGACUGCCGUUGACAAAACGGAGGAAGGUGGGGAUGACGUCAAAUCAUCAUGCCCCUUAUGACCUGGGCUACACACGUACUACAAUGGCCGUCAACAGAGGGCAGCAAAAUGGUGACAUGGAGCAAAUCCCUAAAAACGGUCUCAGUUCAGACUGCAGGCUGCAACUCGACUACAUGAAGCUGGAAUCGC